rnacentral:rRNA from 1 species
CACGUAGGGCGCAAGCGUUGUCCGGAAUUAUUGGGCGUAAAGAGCGUGUAGGCGGCCUGGCAAGUCCGCUGUGAAAACUCGAGGCUUAACCUCGAGACGUCGGUGGAAACUGCCUGGCUAGAGUCCGGAAGAGGAGAGUGGAAUUCCUGGUGUAGCGGUGAAAUGCGCAGAUAUCAGGAAGAACACCCGUGGCUAAGGCGGCUCUCUAGUACGGUACUGACGCUGAGACGCGAAAGCGUGGGGAGCGAACAGG